AUUGAACGCUGGCGGCAUGCCUUACACAUGCAAGUCGAACGGUAACGGGCCUUCGGGUGCCGACGAGUGGCGAACGGGUGAGUAAUACAUCGGAACGUGCCCGAUCGUGGGGGAUAACGAGGCGAAAGCUUUGCUAAUACCGCAUACGAUCUACGGAUGAAAGCAGGGGACCGCAAGGCCUUGCGCGGACGGAGCGGCCGAUGGCAGAUUAGGUAGUUGGUGGGAUAAAAGCUUACCAAGCCGACGAUCUGUAGCUGGUCUGAGAGGAUGAUCAGCCACACUGGACUUGGGCCCGGGCCAGACUCCUACGGGAGGCAGCAGUGGGGAAUUUUGGACAAUGGGCGCAAGCCUGAUCCAGCCAUGCCGCGUGCAGGAUGAAGGCCUUCGGGUUGUAAACUGCUUUUGUACGGAACGAAAAGCCUUCUUUUAAUACAGGAGGGUCAUGACGGUACCGUAAGAAUAAGCACCGGCUAACUACGUG
rnacentral:rRNA from 1 species